rnacentral:rRNA from 1 species
GACGAACGCUGGCGGCGUGCUUAACACAUGCAAGUCGAACGGAAAGGCCCUGCUUGCAGGGUACUCGAGUGGCGAACGGGUGAGUAACACGUGGGUGAUCUGCCCUGCACUUCGGGAUAAGCUUGGGAAACUGGGUCUAAUACCGGAUAGGAACCAUCUUUAGUGUGGUGGUUGGAAAGUUUUUUCGGUGUAGGAUGAGCUCGCGGCCUAUCAGCUUGUUGGUGGGGUAAUGGCCUACCAAGGCGGCGACGGGUAGCCGGCCUGAGAGGGUGUACGGCCACAUUGGGACUGAGAUACGGCCCAGACUCCUACGGGAGGCAGCAGUGGGGAAUAUUGCACAAUGGGCGCAAGCCUGAUGCAGCGACGCCGCGUGGGGGAUGAAGGCCUUCGGGUUGUAAACUCCUUUCGCUAGGGACGAAGCUUUUUUGUGACGGUACCUAGAUAAGAAGCACCGGCUAACUACGUGCCAGCAGCCGCGGUAAUACGUAGGGUGCGAGCGUUGUCCGGAAUUACUGGGCGUAAAGGGCUCGUAGGUGGUUUGUCGCGUCGUCUGUGAAAUUCUGGGGCUUAACUCCGGGCGUGCAGGCGAUACGGGCAUAACUUGAGUGCUGUAGGGGUAACUGGAAUUCCUGGUGUACGGUGAAAUGCGCAGAUAUCAGGAGGAAACCGAUGGCGAAGGCAGGUAACUGGGCAGUUACUGACGCUGAGGAGCGAAAGCAUGGGGUAGCAAACAGGGAUUAGAUACCCUGGUAGGUCCAUUGCCGGUAAACGGUGGGGCGCUAGGUGGCGAGGGUCCUUAACU